ACGAACGCUGGCGGCGCGCCUAACACAUGCAAGUCGAACGAGCGAGAGAGAGCUUGCUUUCUCGAGCGGGUGGCGAACGGGUGAGUAACGCGUGAGGAACCUGCCUCAAAGAGGGGGACAACAGUUGGAAACGACUGCUACUACCGCAUAAGCACACGGGUCGGCAUCGACCAGAGGGAAAAGGAGCAAUCCGCCUUGAGAUGGCCGCGCGUCCGUAUAGCUAGUUGGGGGGGUAACGGCCCACCAAGGCGACGAUCGGUAGCCGGACUGAGAGGGUGAACGGCCACAUUGGGACUGAGACACGGCCAAGACUCCUACGGGAGGCAGCAUUUGGGAAUAUUGCACAAUGGGGGAAACCCUGAUGCAGCGACGCCGCGUGGAGGAAGAAGGUCUUCGGAUUGUAAACUCCUGUUGUUGGGGAAGAUAAUGACGGUACCCAACAAGGAAGUGACGGCUAACUACGUGCCAGCCGCCGCCGUAA
rnacentral:rRNA from 1 species